UGGCGGCGUGCCUAAUACAUGCAAGUCGAACGGUCUUUCUAUGGAAGCUUGCUCCACUGAGAAGAUAGUGGCGAACGGGUGAGUAACACGUGGGUAACCUGCCCAUAAGAGGGGGGAUAACAUCCGGAAACGGGUGCUAAUACCGCAUAGUUUUCUUGAUCGCAUGAUUGAGAAAGGAAAGAUGGCCUUUGUGCUGUCGCUUAUGGAUGGACCCGCGGCGUAUUAGUUAGUUGGUGAGGUAACGGCUCACCAAGACGAUGAUACGUAGCCGACCUGAGAGGGUGAUCGGCCACAUUGGGACUGAGACACGGCCCAAACUCCUACGGGAGGCAGCAGUAGGGAAUCUUCCGCAAUGGACGAAAGUCUGACGGAGCAACGCCGCGUGAGUGAAGAAAGGUUUUCGGAUCGUAAAACUCUGUUGUCAGAGAAGAACAAGUUGGAGAGUAACUGCUCCAGCCUUGACGGUAUCUGACCAGAAAGCCACGGCUAACUACGUGCCAGCCGCCGC
rnacentral:rRNA from 1 species